AGCUGAAACAAAAUUUUCUCUCACUCUCUCAUCCCUCUCACUCACGCCACUCACCCUCUCUCUCCCAUUUCUCUCUUUCUCCUCCAUUGAUCACCAUUAGAGAUACCUUCAAGCUUCCUAAAUCACUUCUAUAUUAGUAUCCUCCAUUAAAUCAAACCCUAAAACACCUUAUACACUUGAAUCAAGAGAUCUUGGAAGAAUUAGAGCUUGGAGUCUAGAGUGAAGAAAUUCUACUUCUCUCAAAAUCCUUGAAGGACGGAAGUGAGUUCACCUCGAGUACUACAAGAGUAAGCUAAGUUUGCUAGGUGGGCAUUAUUUUGAGUAUACAUAUUAUACGAGCUUUCUAAAUUAUUUUGAUGAUGACGUUGAUGAGUUAUUUUACUGCUUUGAGAUGAAUGAUGUUUGAGAACUAUUGACUUGCCAAGUUUUAUGAUGAUGAGCCUGUAUGUUACCCUCUACUGAUGAGAUGAAACGAAUUCGGGUCCUGCCACAAGCGGGAUUGUGUACACAGAGGUGACCGCGAGCUGUCUUUCGGGUCGGCCGGUCACGGUGUUUGAGAAGGAGGCCUACUUCUCAAUACCUUUGAUGAUGAUGAGUUGUAGAUGCGGUACAUAUAUGACGAGUACUUUGUUUGCAGACGCCUAUUUAUGAUGUUUUAUGAUUAAAACUGCAUGCACAUGUUCUUUUAAACUAAAACCCCUAUGUGUGUUGCUUAAUGUGGCAAGUUCAAUCUAUAGCUCUAAGAGCAACUUUCUUGUUUUUCGGCGUAUGCCCACUGAGUAUUUUAUACUCACGCCCUACAUAUAUUUCUAAACGUGCAGGAUAAGCAAGGAGGGAGAUUGGACUGGUGCUGGUGGGGCUUCUGUUCAGAUGAUUUUCCCUUUUACCGUAUUUCUAUUUCUUACGGUAGUGUCAUAAUGUUGAAGUUGUUUUGAACUUGAUCGAGAAAUUUACUCUGGGUUAUAUGUCUUCAUACAUAUAAUCUAUUUAUCUUUUGCUGCGAUACUCUGCAUAAUAUGAACCUUUGUGAAUAUUUAACUAUGCCAGCUUUGUAAAUAUUAUUGAGAAUCCUGAUACUUUUGAACUUAUGAAGCCGAUGAUGUUUGUACCU